UACGUAGGGGGCUAGCGUUGUCCGGAAUCAUUGGGCGUAAAGAGCGUGUAGGCGGUCCGGUAAGUCCGCUGUGAAAGUCGGGGGCUCAACCCUCGAAUGCCGGUGGAUACUGUCGGGCUAGAGUGCGGAAGAGGCGAGUGGAAUUCCUGGUGUAGCGGUGAAAUGCGCAGAUAUCAGGAAGAACACCUAUGGCGAAGGCAGCACUCUGGGACGGUACUGACACUGAAACAUGAAAGCGUGGGUCGCGAAUGGG
rnacentral:rRNA from 1 species